UACGUAGGGGGCAAGCGUUGUCCGGAAUCAUUGGGCGUAAAGAGCGCGUAGGCGGCCCGGAAAGUCGGAUGUGAAAGCCCUGGGCUCAACCCAGGAAGUGCACUCGAAACUCCCGAACUAGAGUCCCGGAGAGGAAGGCGGAAUCCUCGGUGUAGAGGUGAAAUUCGUAGAUAUCGAGAGGAACAUCGGUGGCGAAGGCGGCCUUCUGGACGGUGACUGACGCUGAGACGCGAAAGCGUGGGGAGCGAACAGG
rnacentral:rRNA from 1 species